rnacentral:lncRNA from 1 species
UGCAUAAUUACUAGAAUUAUAAUACAGAAACAGGAAACAAUGUUAACCCACAAGUCAUUUGCUUACCUCAUCCUCACUCACAAAGAAAGUUUUAUUAGUUGUCGCCCUGUAUAGUACGCAACCACUCUUAGCAGUUGCCCCAGCAUCAACCCACUGCAGCGGUACACCAUUUCCUUCCUUCAAUGGUGCAAGCACUUCUGAUGGUUCAUCAGACGACAUCCCCUCCAUCUCCACAUCUUUUGCUCCGCUGCCCUUCUCUUGAUCAUCCUCCUCUUCAUCCUCACCAACACUAUCUUCCACGUCUUCCUCGUCUUCCGCUUCCUCAUCCUCACUCUCAGCAGGUAAAUUUUCAUUACCUAUACCUACAUCAUCUUCGUCCACGCUCA